ensembl:lncRNA
CAGAGCGCGAUGGUGGUACCGAGCAGUGUUUUGGGGCGCAGAAGAAGAAUUUCACAGAAAGAACUUCCUGUUGUGAAGCUAACGCCAGCACAGCAUGUGUGUCGUUUGUGUUCACGGUUUACAGAAGAUUAUUGUGUUUUCGUCUACUUGUUACCCAGGCUGACAGCAGCUUCACUGCCUCAGAACAUUGUGUGCUUUGGAGAAACAGCAGAGGAUCAACAAAGGUUCAGUUUUAAAUCCAAACAACAUGGAGAAAAACAUUGUGUACUGCCUGCUGUGCAACAAGCCCAGCUGUUCAUUUGGAAUCACCUGAGCGGAGUGUGCCUGAAACACGGCACAGCACAGGAGAGGGAGCAAGAAGCUUCCAGAGCUAAAAGCCUCC